CCUGGAUAGUUGUCAUGGACAUCUGACCUCCUAUAUAUAUACAGUAUAAAAUCACCAUUUAUCAAAACCAGCCCUAGGUAAUUAUCAUGAUCAUUUUCCAGCGGCUUUUCUCUUGUUCCUGAGAAAAUUAUAAAGAUAGGAAAUGAAACGAGAAAUUAGCACAUUUAUAUCCCUACUGAGUUCUAAAAGAAUAACAUGAAUAAAAGAAAAGAAAAAUACCGACUCAGUUUAUGAAGAACA
rnacentral:lncRNA from 1 species